UGCCCAAGCGCCACUGGGAUCUGGUGACACUUGUAGUCACGGCCCAGUGGGUCUCAGACCUCGUAGGACAUCCUGAAGUAGCCCGAGCGCUGACACGAAGUUUGCGCUGCGGCAUGAGCCCUCGAACCGCUGUAGUCGAUGCCAGCGGCUAAGAGUUGAAGACAAACUGCUGACGCGCUUUCGUGUCCACGAGGAACAGGCCGCCUCCCAGCUCGUGGGGCCGCAGGCACGGAGCUCUUGGAUCAUCAUAAUGUCCUCUGCGACUGGCGUCACUGUUUUCUUACCCACGUGGAGGCCCUGAUUGCUGUUCCCUGUCUGGCCGCCGUGGUGAGGACUCCCGGUGCUGUGCUGAAUGAAGGCGGUGAAGAGUGGACCCCGUGUCCUGCCCCUGACCUUGGGGAAAGACCCUCCCUUCUCACCAAGGGUGAUGCCAACUGGGGGUUCCCCAUAGUGCGUUCCCUCCAGACCGACGUUGUGGAGAGCUUCUGUCACGGAUGGAUGUUGUGCUUUGUCAGAUGCUUUUUCUGCAUCUAUGGAAAUUAUCACGUGCUUCUCACAAUUUCUCGGAUUGAUGUACUGUGCCACGUUGAUUGAUCCCCCCUGCAUCCUGGGAACGCAGCCCACGGUCCUGAUGCUUCUGAGCAACCACCGCAGCGGCGACCUGUGUCUCGCCAGGCGUCCCCAUUUCUGGCAGGAGUGGAUUUAUCUUCCUUCGCAGGGCCACACCUGGCUGUUUCGGACGCUUUUCUAUUUGGCGAUGAAGACUGUGGACUUGCAAGCCCAGCCAGCACUGGGUGAUCUCUGGCAGCUGCUGAGACUCUGUCACUGUCACGCCUCCGGAGUGGGAACGGGGACCAGAGAGGGCCGCCACCAGGGUCGUCUGGCUGGCUGGCUGCUGGGCAGGUUAUCGUCAUCAACCUCUCUGUGGCCUCAUUUCCUCACCUGAAACGGGCUUUGGUACCUACCUAAAAGGGCUGUUGUGAAGGCGAAUAAAUGGAUAUGUGUAAACUGCUUCAGGCGGAAA